rnacentral:lncRNA from 1 species
CAGAAAGGGGGAAGGGAGAGAUAUUUAAGGAAAAGAUCAGCGAGAAGAGCUCUCUACAUUUGAAGUGCUUGAAUCGCGUAUCGAUGCAGUGCUGGUCCAUCGAAGAGUCUGUCAACUACUAUUGCAACAUCCUCAGUUUGUUCCCAUUUGAAGGCUUGUUUCCUUUGACUUCGACGGUGCUUGGUGCUUAUCAUGCUAUUGAUGUGAUAAG